GUGGGUGUGGCUCAGCUGGUUAGAGCACCAGGUUGUGGCCCUGGUGGCCGUGGGUUCAAAUCCCAUCACCCACC
rnacentral:tRNA from 1 species